rnacentral:tRNA from 1 species
GCUGUGGCUGAGUGGUAGUGCAUCUUCUUGCCAUUCAGAAGGUUCUGGGUUCAAACCCCAGCACCUCCA